rnacentral:rRNA from 1 species
UACAGAGGUCCCAAGCGUUGUUCGGAUUCACUGGGCGUAAAGGGUGCGUAGGUGGUCGGGUAAGUCUGAUGUGAAAUUUCCAAGCUUAACUUGGAAAUGGCAUUGGAUACUAUUCGGCUAGAGGGUUUGAGGGGGGACUGGAAUACUUGGUGUAGCAGUGAAAUGCGUAGAUAUCAAGUGGAACACCAGUGGCGAAGGCGAGUCCCUGGAAAACUCCUGACACUGAGGCACGAAAGCUAGGGGAGCAAACAGG